CGCGCCAAUCGAUGCGCGCCGCUGUCGCGUACCCGCCGCCGCGUACUCGUCCCCUCUCAGUCGCUCCCGCGCGCUACGCCCGCAUGCCUUCUCUCUCUCGCCUCGCGGCCCGCUCGCUCUCCGACCGCCGGUACCUCGUUGUCUCCGUCUCGCUCGUUUCCUCGCCCCGUCUCUCUCCCUCCCUCUCCCUCGCUCGCGUCCCGCGUUGCUGCCUGCGUGCACGUAGUACGUCGCCGCUUUACUUUUCGAACCCGGCCGGCCGGCCGGCCGAACGCAGCGAGAGUAUAAUUUGGAGGCACCCGUUCUACGUAUGUAUGCCGUGUGUGUAUGCACGUAUGCGUUUUCGCGAGGGCCGCCCUGCGUGCGACGGAAUCCGUACGUACGAGGAUAACACGCCUGAAGCCUCGUGCUCUCACGUAUAUCCCGGAAUCCCGCUGCCCGGUCGAGUAGCUACGCAGUAAAUAAAAGGGGCAAUGGCGGAGCUACGUUUCUCUCGCUUGCGACAAGAUUCGUUUUCCUGCGUUACUAAAUGACGACAAGGAUACUUGAUAAGGUUAAUACAAAUGUUAUCGUCUCUUAAGCGCGGUCUGCAAUGCAUGGAGCAAGCGUAGACUAGUCCUGCGCUCUGAUUGGCCGAGUGUAAACGUAAAAGAUGGAGUAGGAGUAGGAAAUAAAUUUAAUUUAUUUCGCUUACGUCCUUAUGCCUAUUACUCCACCUUAUGCCUCACUCCACGCUUAAUAUGAUAUAUUUAUUUCUCGUCGCUCUCAACUUUUACGAGAUCCGGAUACGCAAUUUCGCCGCUUGUGGUCAUGACCGAGAUAUCUACGCACAAAAAAAGUUUUCUUCACAGGUAAGUCCCGACGAAACUAAUCCGCAUGUUUAUCCUGACGAAAUCGUUUCCGCAGAAUCUCAAUUUAUGCUAAUUACAUAUUAUAGAUCAUGUAAGACGAUUGAGAUUAGUCAGGUAGACCAGGUCUUUUGAUGCAAAUUCUAAGUUUGGGGCGUCGCAAUCUUCGUAUAUUAUUUUCGAUAUUCUUUCUCUUUCUGUUGAGAGAGAAAAAAAUCUGCUGUUGCUAUUUUUAUUCGAUAGAAACGUAACUAUAGCUGACACGCGAAACAAGACACGAAUAGAAACUAAAUAAAUAAGCGUGUGAUAAAGUACAUUUGUAUUCGAGAUACCGAUGUUAUAUCGAGUAUUUGUCGAGAAAUUUAUAUCUGCAAAUAUGCUGUUAAAGCAAUUUAUCGAUGAUAAAUCGCAGGAGCGUCAUCAUCUGUCAUUUCUCGAUUUACUCUCGUGGAUUCGUGUUAUCGCAAGUGUCAGCGAGAGAAUUGCACAAACAACGUUCUGAUUUAACAUAAUUUAACAUUAAAUGUUACACUUAUCGUGCGUUUGAGUAAAGAAGGCAGUCAUUAACGGCCGAGAUUCUUUUCUCUUUAUGUUUAUUACGCCGAGUCAAGUAUUUUUAAUCGCGCGCAAAACGGAUGCAUCAAAGAUUUUUCUUUCCGGUAGCUGAUAUUUUGCUGAGCUUGUCGAUAUUUCUAUCAACAUUGAAACGCUUAAACUCUAAAACGAUAAUUCUUUCGCACGAUCCUGCCUCUUAUAAGUUACUUUAAAAAGAAACAUCGUAACAUGCGGACUGAAAAUAACAAGAACUCAAAUUGAUAUCUGUACGAGAUAUAUAUUCCGAUAAAAAAUUAUUUGUUUUCAUAGAUAAAACGUACUUCUAUCGCAUAUUUGAUUUAUAUUUGAUACGAUCGUAAUUAAUUUAAUGGUAAGGUUAGUAUUCAAGAAAAUUGACUAGUAAAUUAUCUACAUGUCGUAUUUUAUCUCAUUGUUUCAACCAAUUGCAUAAAAUUCAACAUAACACUUGUAAUCUUAAUAUAUCUUGUAAAAAUUGUCCUUGCUUUAUUUGAUCCUUCGAUUACAAAUGUAUCGUACUUUUCGUAUUUGCAUCUAUAAUGUAUACAUGCAUUUACAUCUCUGUUUGAUUUUGCCAUAAGCUAAUUGGAUAAUCAUACGAAAUUUAUUCAAACACAACGCAAAGUGUCUUUGCAAACAUUCCCACGUGUUCAGCCGUACAGAAAUAAAUCGUAAAGAGUCGAUUUUGUUUACCUCAGUAAACCUCGCGUGUUUCAAACUACAAACUACGCACCGAACCGGCUUCGAAGUGCGACAGCAAUGCGAAACGAGAUACGUAUUAGAUUACAUUGCAUAAUUUUAUCGGUGAUCGUAAAGCUGUUAGGAAACUUGAGACCACCCAAUUCGCAUGCGACACCGGUCCACAAAUUGCGGAUGCUGAUAAAAGUAACGUAUAAAAGUUUCUUCGACAUCAACUACGCACACCUGGUGCUGAAGUAUCAUAUGCUACGCAUAUAAUAUUGCAAAAAUUAGAUUAUUAAAAAUUAGAUAUAUUUAUGUAAGAGGAUCAAAUCUUACAGUAAAACAAUCAACAAUUUUUAUUUAUCUUAAGUUAUCCCAAUAGAUUAACGUAACGGGGACGAUGCAAUUUUGUUUAAAUCUUAAAGAGUUUAAACAAAAUCUAUCGAACCUAUUGAACUAUACGUUUGACAAAUUGAUUCGAUCCAGAGAUUUUUCGAUUGUGAGCGCGGACAAACAAUCGUAAAUAGAAAAUGAAUAAAUCGGUCGAAUCGCUCGACAACGCGGAUUCCAUGUGUUCACGCGUAAAAUCUUUCCUUGCGAUAAAUACGCGAGGUAUGACGAUAAAUAACAAGGCUCGUAGUAGACACCCGUAUAUCACACUCGAGCACAUUGUAUGCGAUGUCAGAGAGACGAAUUUGAUUCGCCGGCAUGAUGAAGCCCCGCCAUUUGUAUCGGCGCGUGUAAAUAUUGUACAAGAGCGAGCGAGCUGCCGAGUGAGCGGCGGGAAUUCAGGUCAGUCGGUUCCCGAAAUUUCGUCCGAAUGGUUAGGCGCGAGGGAACCGACCCCGUAGGACUACGCGCUCUGCCUACAGGGUACCCCGGGAAAGGAUAAUCCACCGUUCUCUCUCUGAAGAGAGAGAGAGAGAGAGAGAGGAGAGAGAAAGAAAGAGGGCUCCCUAUGAAAAAGCUGUUUUGAUCGGUUCGGGUUUCUAGGACGGUGAUCGUGAAUGAGGCUCUAAGCCGGCACAUACGACGCUGCGCCGCUCGAUGGGGGGAAAAGAGCGGAACCGGAGGGCUAGGUGCAGGCAGACGAGUUUUCGGAUAUAUAAAGACGAGUCCGGAUAUAAAGAACCAGAUGUCACUGAAAAGAAUCGCACGUUCGUAGCGCCCGUCUCCGUUCGCGCGCAUUAAGAAGUACCUGGGGCGCGCUAUUAGAAAUCCGCCCUUCGAGAGUGAGUCGCGGGGAAGUAGGACGCUUGAGGAGGAGGAGGAGGACAAGAGGAAAAUUUCUCGGCUCUUUAUCAUCAUCCUCUUGGCGACUCCGCGAAAGGAGUGUUCGGUGAUACAGCAAAAAAAAAAAACGACGGUACGCAACACCUCGCGUUUCGAUUUCCACAUUGCCGCGUUACAAAGCAAUAAAACACAAUAGUCGUGUUUGCACCUCGCUCUCGUUGCGAAUGUUGCGAUCGAGGAAAGUUGCUAGUCAUGGGCGCGGGAAAACGCGUGGGCAUUACACACGACGCGUAAUGAUCGCGUAAAUAUGUUGCAAUUAGGUGAGCGUGCAUGUUGCUGAGCACUCGCGGCGCAUACGAGACGGUAAGGGAAAUCCCAAUGACUAUUGGCCGCGUAUGUACACACGGUACGGUCUCAGCCUUCGAAAGUGAACCCUUCGAAUUCUCACGGGCGUCAAAAUUGUGGAACGCGGACCGCGCGAGAGACGGAAGGAGGCGAAGGAAGAACGGAGUUUCCCGGCUCGUAUUAUCGAAUUCACGGCAUUGCAUUAACAUCCAUUCUCGUCAGAAACGCAAUAAAGCGCGUAAUCCAAGUCGUCAUUGUUACGCCGCCGGUGCCGCGCGGUGCUCAUUUUUCACCCCCGGGCGGUACACGCGCGUCCUUAGGGCGCGGAGGGAGUUUUCCUGGGAGCCUCGCUUGCAGCGACAGAACGAGACCGGCGCUCGGUCGACGGGGUGGCUGGCUGCUGCUGGCUCGUGGUGCAGAGAGGAGGAAGAGGAGGAGGAGGAGGGUGGGAGAGCGGCGCCCGGUUAGAGGUUGGAGUUUGAAGGUUAGGGGCACCGGGUUGAUCGGGUUGAUGGGGCUUCGGGAAAGAGAGCGGGGGUGUAGGUCUAGGUUCAGGGGCGGCAUUGCCCCGGGUGGGCGUGCACUUUCGGUUUCAGGCUGCGCAUGCCCGCUGCAAUCGCAGGCUACCAGGAUUUCUCCUCCCCCCCUCAGCCGCCGGCGUCAGGGGUCGCGUAUGCGCCCCCUCGUCAAGUUUCUACCCCGCGUAAAAUCCACCACCACUACCCCCGUUUCCACUGCCGGCGGCAGCGGGCUUCACCACCACCAUUAUCGCGAUCUCGUCGAACACCACCACCGCCGUUUCCCGGGCCACCAUCGCAUUCGACGUGUUUCGGCGUGUCCCCCGGCCCCGGAUUGUACCAACGCCGGGAUUGGAAAUUACAGGACGCGUCACUCGCGGGGGAAGACCCGUCCUUCCCGACGUCGCCCUUUGACCCUAAAACUCUCCACGCGAACGUUCUACUUUCCAAGCUCGGCGAGCGGACGAGCCCCUUGAAAGCCACCCGCCCUGCUGUCCUACCCUCGAAAUUCUACGAUCGAUACCUGCCAUCCACUCCAUACCUAAAUAAGACGCCGUAAUUGUUCCCAUGUGAUGUAACCAUGAUGCGUCACGAUGUACCUACUUCGAGUGGUCUUUAAACGUGCCAGUCGGUAGCCACGCCCUCCCAAAAUAAGGGCACCGUAGAGUCUCUCUAACAUCUCGCUCGGCCAUCUUUAAAGAGCUUUAGCUUUUAAAAUGGCCAGAGUCUCUAUAGCAGACAGCAGUAUGUGAAACAUAUAUCGAGUAUCUACUUAAUACAAACAGUUCUGUGAUUAAACUUGACACUUUUUGUCCGUAUCUUCUUAGCGUUAAAGUAUCUGCCCUUGAUUUUUAAAUUCUGAAAAUUUAUCUUUCAACACGAAGUACGGAAGUGUGUGAUAAUGGACGUAAUGCGAAAAACAACUCGCUAUUACCUUCGAACAAGAAAAGCGACUUAGACAAUGUGUUUUACUAUGACAAUUCCUUUUAAAGCGUGCUUGUAUUCCGGUAUGCGUCACGAUGACAAAGAGUAUCGAGGAAACCGCGAAAAUGUCUGCUUCCACGAAAUGGAAGCUACCAGCUUAAACGGGGGAGUUAAACGGUUUGUAAAAUUAUAUAAAUGGCACGUGCGAAAGCUCACGUAUACACCUUAUUGCAAAACAAAUUUAAUUAUCUCUUUAUAAGCAGAUGACGUUAGCAAGAUUCUCUACAAAGAAAUAUACUUCAUACCGAUAAUCGCAACGCAAUUUACAUCUAAUCGUACAUCUAUCCACGGAUUUAUUUGCGUUUAAUGUUCCUGUUUUCUCAAGAAUAUAAAGAUAAACGGAGACAUAAAUGUCUUCGAUAUAAACAUUUGACAUACGCAACUGAAUGAAUAAAUUACACUCGAAAAAAAGAUUUUAAUUUUAAAUUGAUAUUAAAAUUUUUUUUUAUUUCUGUCUCCACUUUUUAAAUAUUUAAAAUUGAUUUUUAAACAAUAAAUGUGUUUGAAACUGUUAGACUUCAAUUUUGGUGUUUUAAAUCUAAACACCGUUAAAAACUAAAACAUUUUCAAGUAUUUAAAAAACAGGAACAGAAAUAAAACAUUAUAAUAUCUCAAAAUUAAACGCUUUUGUUUUUAGUGUAAAAGCCAAACUGC